rnacentral:rRNA from 1 species
CAGUCGCCACGGUAAUACGUAGGUGGCAAGCGUUGUCCGGAAUUAUUGGGCGUAAAGGGUUCGCAGGCGGUUUCUUAAGUCUGAUGUGAAAGCCCCCGGCUCAACCGGGGAGGGUCAUUGGAAACUGGGAAACUUGAGUGCAGAAGAGGAGAGUGGAACUCCACGUGUAGCGGUGAAAUGCGUAGAGAUGUGGAGGAACACCAGUGGCGAAGGCGACUCUCUGGUCUGUAACUGACGCUGAGGAGCGAAAGCGUGGGGAGCGAACAGGAUUAGAUACCCGAGUAGUCCCUGUCUCUUAUAC